AUUGAACGCUAGCGGGAUGCUUUACACAUGCAAGUCGAACGGCAGCGCGGACUUCGGUCUGGCGGCGAGUGGCGAACGGGUGAGUAAUGUAUCGGAACGUGCCCAGUAGCGGGGGAUAACUACGCGAAAGCGUAGCUAAUACCGCAUACGCCCUACGGGGGAAAGCAGGGGAUCGUAAGACCUUGCACUAUUGGAGCGGCCGAUAUCGGAUUAGCUAGUUGGUGAGGUAACGGCUCACCAAGGCGACGAUCCGUAGCUGGUUUGAGAGGACGACCAGCCACACUGGGACUGAGACACGGCCCAGACUCCUACGGGAGGCAGCAGUGGGGAAUUUUGGACAAUGGGGGCAACCCUGAUCCAGCCAUCCCGCGUGUGCGAUGAAGGCCUUCGGGUUGUAAAGCACUUUUGGCAGGAAAGAAACGUCGCGGGCUAAUACCCCGUGGAACUAACGGUACCUGCAGAAUAAGCACCGGCUAACUACGUG
rnacentral:rRNA from 1 species